rnacentral:lncRNA from 1 species
AUCCCUCCAGCAACGGAUGUGGGCUCUGUCCAGCCUCAUAUACCAUUCCAAGGAUGCCCCAGCUAGGCUGUCCUGGAAGAAGUACAUAAGUAGCUUCUCGUCAUCAGAGUAUGCAACCAUUUUACGGAAAUAGGCUUGCACGUGAGUCUUGGGGCAAGAGUUGCCCUUGUACUUGUCAAAGACCGGGACUUUGAAUUUCGGUGGCACUCUCACACCUGGGACCAGCCCUAAGUCAGCAACGUCUACUCCCAAAGGAUUCUGUCCUUCCACUGCCUUCAACCUCUCUUCCAAUCUCCUGAACAUGGGGUCUACGCCAUGACCCAU